rnacentral:rRNA from 1 species
CGUAGGUCCGAGCGUUGUCCGGAAUUAUUGGGCGUAAAGGGCUCGUAGGCGGUUUGUCGCGUCGGGAGUGAAACACCGGGCUUAACUCGGUGCUUGCUUUCGAUACGGGCAGACUAGAGGUAUGCAGGGAGAAUGGAAUUCCUGGUGUAGCGGUGAAAUGCGCAGAUAUCAGGAGGAACACCGGUGGCGAAGGCGGUUCUCUGGGCAUUACCUGACGCUGAGGAGCGAAAGUGUGGGGAGCGAACAGGAUU